GUUUUUAUUACAAUAUUUAUUGCUUCCACUUCAGGUCAGAUACCCAUAUGCUCUGUAUGCAGUAGAGCAGUUUCAAGAGAUAAAAUUGUAAUCAUGUGCUGCAAAGUUGCCACCAGUUAUUGCAUCAGGUGAAAUCACAGGACUUAGAGGUGAACUUUUGAACUGGCUGUCAAGUGGCAUAACAGAUAACUUGCCUUUUCUGAAAGAAGAAUCAGCAAAUGUUUAUUCCCUCCAAUGUUUAUUCCCUCCAGUGCUGCUCUGUUAACCCCUUUCACCUGUUCCCUCUGUCCACUGCACCUUGCCCUGAGUGGAGUGAUGCCCUUCACUGGAGAGAGAAGCAGCAGUAAACCUUGUUAACAUAAAAUGACGAGUUAACAAAAUCAAAUGGGGAAUGUGACAGUGCUUUAACAAGGUACACUUGACUAUUUAC